rnacentral:lncRNA from 1 species
GGGUGUGGCCGCAUGGCGUGCUGUGGUGCAGGUGGCCGAAGGGGGCGUUACUGUUGCGACUGGCAUCCGCAUCCGGCAGAUGUAGAUGGAACCAAAGUCCAGAAGUUACGCGUCACCCUUGCUCUACAGCCAAACAUGCAGGACUCUAGUAACCCGCGAAAUGAUGGGAUAGCGUUGCAAAUCCUUAAAAGAGUCUUAACGAAAUCCUGGCUGACAUUGACUUCUCCACUGCAACCAUCGAGUUCAUUGUCUCCUAAACCUUGCCAUGGAGGCCUGUGGCACCUGAGCCAGCCAUUAUCAUCACCAGCACUUCCAUGAGCUACAAGCUGGACCCACUGCAGUCCUCCUGACACACUGAAAUCAGAGCCUGCACACAGAGCAGCAGAUGCUUCAAUGUAAAGGUCAUUUCCAGCUAUGUGUUCCAAGAUUACUGAAGCAGGAUUCUGGCCUUCCUGAUAAGAACAUGACCAGAUCCAGCUGGUUUGCAACAAGAUGAACUUCAGUGCUGAGCUUUCACCAAGUUUUUCUCACUACAAUCUCAUUGUAAUACUAAAAUCUCCACCCAAGAUGGAGGUUAUCUGCCAUUUUCUGUACAUGUGUUACCAGAAAGGGGUCCUGAUCCAGACCCCAAAAGAGGGUUCUUGGAUCUCACGCAACAAAGAGUUCGGGGCGAGUCCAUAGAGUAAAGUGAAAGCAAGUUCAUCAAGAAAGCAAAGGAAUAAAGAAUGCCUACUCCAUAGGCAGAGCAGUGGCUUUGGCUGCUCAGCUGCUUGUACUUGUUACUUCUUGAGUAUAUGCUAAACAAGGGAUUGAUUACUCCUUGUUUAGCAGUUUUCUGGGAAAGGAGUGGGCAAUUCCCAGAACUGAGGGUUCCUCCCCUUUUUAGACCAUAUAGGGUGACUUCCUGAUGUUGCCAUGGCAUUUGUAAACUGUCAUGGCGCUAGUGGGAGUGUCUUUUAGCAUGCUAAUGCAUGAGCAGUGAGGAUGACCCGAGGUCAUUUUUGUUACCAUCUUGGUUUUGGUGGGUUUUGGCUGGUUUUGGCCGGCUUCUUUACCACUUCUUUUUAUCAGCAAGGUCUUUGUGACCUGUACUUAGUGCCGACUUCCUGUCUCAUCCUGUGAGUAAGAAUGCCUAAUCUCUCAGGAAUGCAGCCCAGUAGGUCUCAACCUUAUUUUACCCAGCCCCCAUUCAAGAUGGAGUGACUCUGGUUCAAAUGCCUCUGACACAUGUGCCUCAUGUUUGGGCAUGAGACCUCACUGUGUAGGUGCAGAGAAGACCCUGCCUAAACAUUGCCUACACGUUGCUCCUUUUUCCUGCCUCAACUUCCUUAAAAUGACAAGAGCAGAGCCCUUUUGGGAGCUAACAUCAGGACUCCUUUUCUGUACUCUGCUCCGUUGUGCUGCUAGAGCCACAAGCCUAUUAAACUUUGCCUGAAA